AUGAAAUGUGCCUAUCAGUGCACAGAAGCACUUUUGGGAGAAGUGUGGCCAUGCUGGCCCUGGCUAGCUAGCACUGCAGCACCCAUACAGCUUGACAGGUUCCAGACACAGCUGGCUCAGCUCUGGCUUGGGCAUCUCUUCAGGAUUCAGCCAGCGUCAUGCAAGUGCCUCUGCAGUAGAAGGGCCCCUGAUCUGCAUCCAGCAACCCAGCACCAUGCUCCACACAGACCCAGAAGGAGGCUCCUCUGCUGGCAGAACAAUUCCUUUCAUGGCUGGGCUGAUGAAGAGGUGUCCUGGGCACCUGUUAAUGACCACAGGUCCCAAGAGCAUGGUAUGGAGUGUCUCUGAGCAUGCUUGCAGCGUUUGAAUCUGUUUUGAUCUCCCCACUCUGAUGUCCCUACAAAUCCAUACUGUGUGCAGAGGCAAGGGGAGAGGGCCACAGCCUGAGCAAAGAAGAUGUGGAUAUGGCACCUUUUUAUAUGCUGCUAGUUAUUACUGGCAGUGAUAUAGCUCCUUGGGAUCCAGACAUUAACUACUACUGCCCUGAAAUUGCUCGCCAGUGUAUAUUGAAUGCAAUAGUGGACAGUGACCUCCCGAGGCACUGAGCUCUGCUUCUUGGUCUCACAAAGAGGCAUUUACAUCCUCAUCCCUCAGCAUGGUGUGCUCACAAUACCUUACCCUGACCCUACUGUAACCCCUGAAAGGCUGCAUCUGGACUGUUCCAAUGGACAGAAACCAUCUAAUUCCCAGUACAAAUUUGUCUGGCUGGUUUUGUGAGAACAGUGAACUUAAAUUUAAGCAGCUUUUCACCCUCCCUCAUGUUUGACCUAAUUAUAUGUUUACAGAGAAUAAUGGUGUCCUCCCACUUUCUGUUUGACUAGAAUGAACAUGGCAGCCUUUUUUCCUCUAACACGAUGGGCUCAUCAUUCCCCUGAUUGUACCAGCUUCCCAUGUUGGCAUUUGCUCCAGUUUUAAUUCUUCUCUCUUGAAAAUGAUUGACAAGAAUGAUACCAAUUGUUCCAAGUGAUGUCUCUAUUUCUACCGUGCAGCAACCACAGUACUCCCUUGUUUGUAUUGUAUGUCCCUCCCCUGGCACAUCUAAAGAUCUCAUUUACCUCUUGCAUGUCCAUUUCAGGUUGUGAGCUCAUGUUUGUGCUGUGAUUGACUGGAACAAGCAAGUCUUGUCUCCUGUUUUCUUGUUUCAAAUUGAUAAGCUUUCAGUGUGUAGGUGAAACUCUCACACACAGUGCCCAAAUCUGUGGCCUUGCUUUUCAUACUGCUAUUCUCCCUCACGCUGACCCAAUCCUCACAAUACUCCAUGUGACAUUCUAGUGAUUCUUGGCAUUGA
rnacentral:lncRNA from 1 species